rnacentral:rRNA from 1 species
GACGAACGCUGGCGGCGUGCUUAACACAUGCAAGUCGAACGAGAAUCUACUGAAAGAGUUUUCGGACAAUGGAAGUAGAGGAAAGUGGCGGACGGGUGAGUAACGCGUGAGGAACCUGCCUUGAAGAGGGGGACAACAGUUGGAAACGACUGCUAAUACCGCAUGAAGCAUAGGGGUCGCAUGAUUCUUAUGCCAAAGAUUUAUCGCUUCAAGAUGGCCUCGCGUCUGAUUAGCUAGUUGGUGAGGUAACGGCCCACCAAGGCGACGAUCAGUAGCCGGACUGAGAGGUUGAACGGCCACAUUGGGACUGAGAUACGGCCCAGACUCCUACGGGAGGCAGCAGUGGGGAAUAUUGGGCAAUGGGCGCAAGCCUGACCCAGCAACGCCGCGUGAAGGAAGAAGGCUUCGGGUGUAAACUUCUUUGUCAGGGACGAGUAGAAGACGGUACCUGACGAAUAAGCCACGGCUAACUACGUG